rnacentral:rRNA from 1 species
GAUGAACGCUGGCGACGUGCCUAAUACAUGCAAGUCGAGCGAACGGACGAGAAGCUUGCUUCUCUGAUGUUAGCGGCGGACGGGUGAGUAACACGUGGAUAACCUACCUAUAAGACUGGGAUAACUUCGGUAAACCGGAGCUAAUACCGGAUAAUAUUUUGAACCGCAUGGUUCAAAGGUGAAAGACGGUCUUGCUGUCACUUAUAGAUGGAUCCGCGCUGCAUUAGCUAGUUGGUAAGGUAACGGCUUACCAAGGCAACGAUGCAUAGCCGACCUGAGAGGGUGAUCGGCCACACUGGAACUGAGACACGGUCCAGACUCCUAAGGGAGGCAGCAGUAGGGAAUCUUCCGCAAUGGGCGAAAGCCUGACGGAGCAACGCCGCGUGAGUGAUGAAGGUCUUCGGAUCGUAAAACUCUGUUAUUAGGGAAGAACAUAUGUGUAAGUAACUGUGCACAUCUUGACGGUACCUAAUCAGAAAGCCACGGCUAACUACGUG